rnacentral:lncRNA from 1 species
UAAAUUGUAUAUUCCUAAAUUAUGAACUUAUUCCUAAAGUCGCUCUUUUUGGAUGCUGUUAUAAAUAGAAACCCAUUCUUAACUGUAAUCGCAGUUUUUCCGGUUCCGCCAUCGGGCGCGCGCGGAGCAGGACGCGGGUCAGGCCGCGCCGGGUGGAGGGCGCACGGCCGGUGCUCACCCGGCAGCGUCGGGGCUUUCGCGGCGGUUCUAGAACAACCCGCCCAUCACUGCGCUCCGCAGGGAGGAGCCGGGCCCGCGCCGCCAGCCGGGGUGAGGCCCGCACCCAGGAGGCCGCGCUGGGGCCGAGGGCCGCAGAAGGGAGACAGCGCUCGCUCCACAUUUCACAACGCCCACGAGGGAAGGCCUGCACGCGAGGCUCAGCCGUCCUAAAUCUGCGGCUCUUGCUGCCCUGCUGUUACACUGGUUGCUGUGAAAAAACCACCUUUCCCUUUCGGAAUCUGAGCUCCCUCCGACACAAGCAAGCGCUCAGCUCCCACUCGGCUCAGAAGAUCACCCGUGACUGAUACCAUCGCCUCAGAAAUAGUCAUUCAAUGGAAAAUUUUACUCUCACAGGAAUAAAACUACAGUUUGGCAAGGAAGGCUGUGCUCCCUCUCUGC